AUUGAACGCUGGCGGCAGGCCUAACACAUGCAAGUCGAGCGGAUGAAGGGAGCUUGCUCCUGGAUUCAGCGGCGGACGGGUGAGUAAUGCCUAGGAAUCUGCCUGGUAGUGGGGGAUAACGUCCGGAAACGGGCGCUAAUACCGCAUACGUCCUGAGGGAGAAAGUGGGGGAUCUUCGGACCUCACGCUAUCAGAUGAGCCUAGGUCGGAUUAGCUAGUUGGUGGGGUAAAGGACUACCAAGGCGACGAUCCGUAACUGGUCUGAGAGGAUGAUCAGUCACACUGGAACUGAGACACGGUCCAGACUCCUACGGGAGGCAGCAGUGGGGAAUAUUGGACAAUGGGCGAAAGCCUGAUCCAGCCAUGCCGCGUGUGUGAAGAAGGUCUUCGGAUUGUAAAGCACUUUAAGUCGGGAGGAAGGGCAGUAAGUUAAUACCUUGCUGUUUUGACGUUACCAACAGAAUAAGCACCGGCUAACUUCGUG
rnacentral:rRNA from 1 species